UCCCGGGCCCUGGACGUUAGUCGUGGUCACAGACAUCACUUGGGGCUGCUGGUAGACGGCCAUGGCUACAGGAUACAAGAUACAAAGAUGAAGAAGAAAGAUGAGACUACCACAUCACUGGUGGCUAGGUCUGGGAAGCUAAAAUUAAUUAAAUAUGGAAUGGCUUAGAACAUUCUGCUUCAUGAAGGACCCCACCCACCCCACAAAUGCUCUGUUUGUCCAGAAGACGGCUACGGAGCAUCAGAAGCAGGACCACCAGUAACCCCCCACCCCUACCCCCGUACCCCCACAUUGAUUCAACACUCCUCCCCUCAUAACCACCCCACAAACAGCAAAUAUGUGUUGGCCUGACCAUUGUCUCACAACUAUUGUUCCCACAUAUGUUGCUCUUGUUGCCUUGGCAAUGUUGUUGUUCUUGUCUUUCACUCUUGCACAUUGUGUUUCUCUUUCUUCGCUGCACUAUGUCAAUCAAUGUACUCGAACCGGGACCAGGGAGAUUCAUUUCCUUCAUCCCAUGUCUAACGUGUGUCGCAAUGACAAUAAAGAACCUUGAGUCCUUGAGUCCUUCAAUAACCCAUUAUUGUAGACUGUACACAGUAGCAUUUGAAAAGUUUUAACAAGGUGUAAAGAAAUAAGAAAAUAGGUGUAUAACCUAAUGUUGGUCUACUUCCGCUAUUGUUUCUUUAAGAAAUCAGUGAAACUGCUUUCUUGUUUUAUUAGAUUAGAUUAGUUAAAUACAGAACUACAUGGGAAAGAACAACUUUGACAUUAUUUUCAUUUUUUAAAAGGAUUUGUUAUCCAAACUAUAAAAAAAAA